rnacentral:lncRNA from 10 species
CUGACCUCAUGACCAGCCCGCCUUGGCCUCCCAAAGUGCUGGGAUUACAGGUGUGAGCCACCGCGCCCAGCCUAAUUUUUCAUUUUAUACCAUUUGUUUUACUAAUUUUUUUUCCAACCUGAGCACACAUAACUUUCUCUAUUUAAUGUAAAUUAGUGUUGUAAAGAAAUAGCCAUUUAUUAAAUCCCCAUUAAAUAUCUGUUAGGGAUUUUAUAUGCAUUGUAUCUGAUCCACACAACAACUUUGCAAGAUUGAUUUUAUCUCCUAUUUUAUAGAUGAGCAAACCUAGGCUUGAAAGAUGAAGUGAAUGUAUUGGUCAGGAUUCUCCAGAGAAACAAAAUCAACAGGAAAGAGAAAGAUUUAUUUUAAGGAAUUGGCUCACGUGAUUGUGGGUGCUGGUAAGUCCCGAAUUCAUAGGGCACGCCAGCAGCCUGAAAAUUCGGAUAAGAACUGAUGUUACCGUCUAGAGUGUGAAUUCAGCAGGGCAGCAGGCUGGAAACUCAGGCAGGGUUUCUGUGUUGCAGUCUUGAAGGAAAUGCCUUCUUCUUCUGGAAACCUCAGUCUUUGCUUUACUUAAGGCCUUCAAAUAAUUGGAUGACGCUCAACACAUGAUGGAGGGUAAUCUGCUUGACUCAGCCUCUACUGGUUGUGUUAGCCACAUCUAGGAAAUACCUUCAUAGCAACAUCUACACUGUUGACUCAACAUCGGGCACUGCAGCCUUGCCCGUCUAACACAUAAAUUAACCAUCACAGUGAAUUGGCCAAAAUUUCACAGCUAAUAAAUUGUUAGUCUGGAUUGGAACCCACAGUCCCACAGUCUGGAGCCAAAGGCUAGAAGUGGAUGAGCAGACUACAGGCAUAGGGUAUACACAAAUGGCUGGCUGUCUUGGGCGAGUGGAGUAAAGAAGAGGGUAAGGCAUAACCCUUGCAAGACACUCCCGGAUCAGAUGGCAGCUCUCCUGCGCUUCUCCACUGAGCUCUGAUGCCAACUAACCGGGAGACACUGGAAGUCACUCCUCUCUCCAUCUGUGCUGUUGGUUUUUUCCCUCCUCCGAAGGGAGAGAUUAAAGUAAAUAGUCUUUAAGGGCCCUUUAAGUCGUACAUGUUAAGAUUCAAUGCCGCUGAGAGGAAACACAAAUUAAUACCACAAUAAUGUACCACUAUAUGCCCAUCAGAAAGGUUACAGAGACUGAAAAUGCCAAGUAUGUGUAUAACUCAAUAAGAAAAGGCAAAAGUUACAUAUUUUUAUAUAUAUAUAUAUAUAUAUAUAUAAUUACACAAAAGAAGCUACACUAUUUUUUUUUAAAUAAACGCAAAGAGGUGGUUCUCAUAAAAGUCAGGAUACCACUGUCUUUAGUGAGGAAGGAAUGAGUUAUAAUCAGGAAAAAGCCUGAUAGGGCUCCUUGAGUCCAGAUGGUGUUCUGCAGGUUUCUUGACCUGGAGGUGGUUGCACAGAUGAUCACUUACAGUAAUCCAUUAAGCUCUUCACAACAUUUAGGUUUUAUAUACAGUCAUGCAGUGCAUAUGGACAUUUUGGUCAGUGAUGGAUCACAUAUACAAUGGUAGUCCCAUGAGAUUAUAACACUGUAUUUUUACUGUACCUUUUCUAUGUUUAUAUAUGUUUAAAUACAUAAAUUCUUACCAUUGUGUUACACUUGCCUACAUAUUCAAUAUGGGAACAUUCCGUCCAGGCUUGUAGACUCAGAGCAAUAAGCUCUACCAUGCAGCCUAGGCGUGUAGUAGGCUACAACAUCUGGGUUUGUGUAAGUACACCCUGAUGUUUGCACAACGAUGAAAUUGCCCAAGGACACAUUUCUCAGACUCUGUUCCCAUGGUUAAGUGAUGCAAUACUGUACUUUUAUGUAUAGAUGGUAUAUUUUACAAUAAAAAUUUCUAAAAAUAAAUAAGAAACUUCGAAGUUGCUGCUCUCUUGAUGCCCUGGAAGACAGGAGGCUCUGGGAAGAACCCCAGGCAGACAGCUUCAGCUCAGAGGCCUGACUCCCGGGCCAGGGUUCUGGCCACUGGCUCUGCUACCUUUCCGUACGAGGAAGGGACUUUGAAAAAUUUUCUCUCCCUGUUCCACUCCUUUCAGGGCUCUUAAUCAAGAGGAGGCACAUCUUAUUAUAGAAGGCGCCUUCCAUUUCACUCCAGACACAGCCUUCUCUUCCCUUGUCUGAUGUGUUGAUUAGAUUUCAGGCAGGAUUACCGGGGUUGAUGCCAUUAAGUAAAAAGUUAUCUCCUUUGGAAACAGCCCAGAAAGUCUGGAUUCCAUUUUUAAAAGCCUCAGAUCCCAUUAAAGAUGAAACAUUGAGAACCAAGUGGAUUUAGAUUGGGUGGGAGAAAUCAGAACUCCAAGUGCUGGCAGGCUCAUGUGAACACCUGGGUGGGGAAGGGGGAAGAGGGAUGGCGGUAAAAUGGGGACAAGGAGUGUACUUUGGCAGUAAGAUCAGCAAAUUCUCAGCAACUCUCUUCCUCAAGAGCAAGUGAUCAAUAAAUCAAAUACUGCCCAUCUGCUAGGCAGUCACUGAAUAAAUUACGGUAUGCUCACACCAUGAUAUAUUGUGCGUCCAUUAAAAGUACAAAUUAGAGUUACAUCAAUGGACUUGGGUGGAUUUCCACCAGGUAUUAUUGAUUGAGAAAAGCAAGAUACUUCAGCCUUUAAAGCAUCUGUAACAUGCUCCUAUUGUAUAAAACAAUGACAAACAACCCUCCUCUUAUGUACAUGAAUACUUCUGUACAUGUAUAUGUGCCCAUAUGAGUCUGCAUGUACGGAGCAAAAUAUGGAAAGAAACAUACCAGGUUGUUAACAUCAACUACCCAGCAAGAUUUUGGGUGGUGGUGGGUGCUGAAGAGGAUGGAGGAGACAUGAAAGGUGGAACCAAACAAAAGAAAACCAUGAAAAACAGCCAGCAGGAAUGAUAGGAUCACAUGUAUGUGUUUAUGUAAAAACGAAUAAGGGGUGGGGAAUUUAACUAUGUAUUGCACCUCUACUUUCUCUAGCCCUAUCUCAGGCAUUGUAAAGAACAGAGGACAGCUCUGUUGGCCGGAAGCUUACACUCCCUUUGGGAAAACAAGGCAAACCCAUGCAGCACUCAGUGAGCAAGCCAACAUAAUUCAACGUUCGAAUUCCCUAUCUCCUGAGUUCCUAUCACUCUAUUAUAUUGUUUAUUUAACAAGCAUUUCUUCAGGCCACACUAGGUGCCAGGUGUGAUCAUUGUCCCUGAGGAGUUAAAAAAGCAAUAUAAUUAGAGAUGGAUAUCUAGUGCUAAGUAAAUAUUAUCAAAUGGGGUUAAAAUAGCUGUAAUUUGGACAGAGAGAGGUGCUGUAUGAUAUUUUGUCUUUAUAGCCUUUGUAGUCCAUCACAUCAGUAUCUAGGGCUGGAGAAAGACCUUAUCACCCAUCUAGUGUAACUUCUAUAUAUUAAUUAUGAGGAAACUGAGGCCCUGGGGGAGCAAAUGAGAGUAGUCCCUUCCAGUGAUUAGCAGAGCUGAGCUACAGCCCACAGCUCAAGAACCAGGCUUGUUUCUGUCCACCACACAAUAGUGUCUUCAAGCAAAACUAAGAACAAAUAAUGUCUGAGAGUGAAGGAUUUGAUGUUUUAAUGAUCUUUCAUCUGAAGCAGCAAAUAUAAUAGGGAAAAUAUGGUGCUAUAGGUUCAAUUGUCUCCCCCCAAAAGAUGUAUUCAGGUCUUACCCUCUGGAACCUAUGUAUGUGAGCAUAUUUGAAAAUAGAGCCUUUGUGGUAUCGAUGACUGCUACACCUCAGCCCGGGGCUGCACUGCCACCCUGGGCAACUUCAGUAGGUAGGUGGUCCACGCAUGGGGCAUAGCCAUGGUCUCUCAGCUCUGCUUAACCACACGGGUCCAGUGUGUGCUUGGCGUGUUUUCAGGGAGGCAGAGAAAGGCUCUCCUAAUGCACGACAGACCCGCCCAGAAUGGCCUCUCUGUUCCUAGGAGUGUGACAAUUUUUGGGUUAAAAAAAAAAAAAAAAGAAAAUAGAGCCUUUGCCUAUGUAAUGAAGUUAAGAUGAGGUCAUACUGGAUUGGGGUGUUUCCUAAAUCCAGUAUGACUGGUGUCCUUAUAAGAAGAGAGAAAUGUGGACACAGAGAUACAGACACACAGGGGAGAAGGCCACACCAAGAUGGAGGCAGAGAUGGAAUGCUGUAUCUGUCUGUAAGCCAAGGAGCUCCAAGGCCUGCCAGCAACCACCAGAAGCUAAAAUAGGCAAGGACGGAUCCUUCUCUAGAGCCUUUGGAAGAACAUGACCCUGUAGACACCUUGAUUUUAGACUUCUAGCCUCUAGAACUGUAAGAUAAUAUAUUUCUACUGUUUUAAGCCAUGCUAAUAUACAUCGCUUGGAGUUUGUUAGAUCUAGGUAAAAUCUUGUUUUUGUUAUUUACAAGACGGAUGAUCUUGGACAAACCAACAAACUUCGUUGAUCCUUGGCUUCAUUACUGUAAAACAGGGAUAAUAGCAGCACCUCGGUUGCUGUGAGGAUAAAACAAGGUAACUCAUGGACAGCACCCAGCUCCUAACCACUCUACUGAACUCUGGGAAAGGAAAUGGACCAGGCUGGGCUCGGGGAAGGUAGCAGGCUCUGAGUCCCUCUUCCCCUGAACCUCAUGAUGCCAUGUGGAGCAAGGCUGGCCAAUUCAUCUUUUUGGCUGGAAUUAACCUACAGUAAUGGCUUGCAUGCUGUAGAAUAGCUAUGCUGUUGGCUGAAGCCUAUCCCUCCCUGACAGUAACAACUUAAUGGUCUAGAGAGUGAUGCUGAGGCAGGAGAAUGGGGUCUGGAGGGAGGGAACAUAAAGCCAAUUCACACUGACUUCCUAGAACUCAAUCAAAUAGAAACACUUCAGCUAUGACAGGAAAUACCCUCUCCAUUUACAUAGGGCGUACACCAACUAAAUGACUUUGUAACUUUACUACAUUCUCCUCAUUUACAUAGAGUGUACACCAGUGAAAACCUCUAGAGGGUAUUUAAAUGCCCCAAAAUUCUGUAACGGGGCUCUUGGGCCCUUAUGCUCAGGCCCACUCCCACCCUGUGGAGUGAACUUUUGUUUUCAAUAAAUCUCUGCUUUUGUUGCUUCAUUCUUUCUUUGCUUUGUGUGUUUUGUCCAAUUAUUUGUUUGAGACGCCAAGACCCUGGACACCCUUCAUCAUUAUCAAUGCUACAGAAAACUGAGAUGACACUGAUAAGAGAGGGCAUUGGUUUGAGCAAAAGACCCAGGUUCUAUUCCUGGCUUGAAGACUUACUCUGUUGACCUUGGAAUUUGCAUCCCAGUAGGAAUAACAACACCUUCAGCCUCAUAAAGCAUUAGUAAAAAUGAAUGUGUUCUUAAAAGUCCUUUGAACAAUGGAGCAGAGCUACCAAAAGACAAACUGAGUCAGCUAUAGAUACAGAUGUAAAUUUAGGUUUCGCUUCUAGAGUAAGGGAAAGACAAAAUUCCUGUUUGCCUGCAUAUAUCCAUUAAACUCCUUUUGAACAAUUGCUAGGAUCUGAGGACACAAAAAUGAGUAAGAUGCAGUUCCCUGUCCUCAAGUCCUUGCAAUCUGGUGAGGAAGACAGUGCAAGAACCAUGAGAACAGUCAGAAGCCAUGAUCCUGACUUGAGAAAGGUCUGGAGGUUUCUGGAGCUUGAAUGGAAGGAAGGAUGGUCAAAGAAAGCCUUUCAGAGGAGGAAACUCUGUGUCAUUUUUUCUAUUGCCAAUUUUAAAAAGUGAUUCUGGUCUCAAGAUCUCAGAAAAAGCUAUCAUAAGUCAUGGAAUCAUCUCCUAUUUAUUUUACAAUGUAUGAAAAAUCCUUGAUCUCCCUCUUUGCCUCAUACCUUCUAAGAAUGAGGUACCUUAAAAACACAUCCACACAAAAACCUACAUAUGGAUGCUUUUAGCAGCUUUAUUCAUAAUGCCAAAACCUGGAAGCAACCAAGAUGUCCUUCAGGAGGUGAAUGGAUAGGUAAACGGUGAUACAUUCAGACAAUGGAAUAUUAUUCAUAUAAGAUACAAUAAAUCUUUCUGAGUUUGUCUUCAAAGGGUUUAGCCUAUUAACUUCCUUAUCCUUUGUUCUCAAACUCAACUUUCUUUUUCUUCCUUGCCCCUAGUUACUGUAAACAGCCUACCCCCUUCCCGU